UAGGGAAUAUUGCGCAAUGGACGAAAGUCUGACGCAGCCACGCCGCGUGAGUGAGGAAGGCCUUCGGGUUGUAAAGCUCUGUCGUCCGGGAAAAACGGCUAUUCGGGGAAAGUUCGAGUAGCGUGAUGGUACCGGAGAAGGAAGCACCGGCAAACUCUGUGCCAGCAGCCGCGGUAAUACAGAGGGUGCAAGCGUUGUUCGGAAUUACUGGGCGUAAAGCGUGCGUAGUCGGUAUUGAGAGUCGCGGGUGAAAUCCCAGGGCUUAACCCUGGAACUGCCUGCGAGACCUCAGUACUAGAGUGUGAGAGGGGAUAGUGGAAUACCAAGUGUAGCGGUGAAAUGCGUAGAGAUUUGGUAGAACACCGGUGGCGAAGGCGGCUAUCUGGCUCACAACUGACGA
rnacentral:rRNA from 1 species